rnacentral:rRNA from 1 species
AGUCGAGGGGUAUAUUCUUUCGGGAAUAGAGACCGGCGCACGGGUGCGUAACGCGUAUGCAACCUGCCUUGCGCUAAGGGAUAGCCCAGAGAAAUUUGGAUUAAUACCUUAUAGAACGGCGCUGCGGCAUCGCAGUGCCGUUAAAGAUUCAUCGGCGCAAGAUGGGCAUGCGUCCCAUUAGCUGGUUGGCAGGGUAACGGCCUACCAAGGCGAUGAUGGGUAGGGGUCCUGAGAGGGAGAUCCCCCACACUGGUACUGAGACACGGACCAGACUCCUACGGGAGGCAGCAGUGAGGAAUAUUGGACAAUGGGCGCAAGCCUGAUCCAGCCAUGCCGCGUGCAGGAUGAAGGUCCUAUGGAUUGUAAACUGCUUUUAUACGGGAAGAAACCCUCCGACGCGUCGGAGACUGACGGUACCGUAGGAAUAAGGAUCGGCUAACUCCGUGCCAGCAGCCGCGGUAAUACGGAGGAUCCAAGCGUUAUCCGGAAUCAUUGGGUUUAAAGGGUCCGUAGGCGGCCAGGUAAGUCAGCGGUGAAAUCCCAUCGCUCAACGGUGGAACUGCCAUUGAUACUGCCAGGCUUGAAUUACUAGGAAGCAGCUAGAAUAUGUAGUGUAGCGGUGAAAUGCUUAGAUAUUACAUGGAAUACCGAUUGCGAAGGCAGGCUGCUACUGGUGGAUUGACGCUGAUGGACGAAAGCGUGGGUAGCGAACA